CCAACGGCCCUCUUUAGGGCCACAUUAAAAAAAACGAAUCAAGU
rfam:Nippostrongylus brasiliensis genome assembly, scaffold: NBR_scaffold0007615